AAUUUUGGACAAUGGGCGCAAGCCUGAUCCAGCCAUGCCGCGAGAGUGAAGAUUGACAUAGGGAUGUCAAGCUCUUUCGGAAGGAAAAAAAUCGCGCAGGCUAAUACCCUGCGAGGUUGACGGUACCGCCAUAAGAAGCACCGGCUAACUACGUGCCAGCAGCCGCGGUAAUACGUAGGGUGCGAGCGUUAAUCGGAAUUGCUGGGCGUAAAGCGUGCGCAGGCGGUUGAUUAAGACAGGCGUGAAAUCCCCGGGCUUAACCUGGGAACUGCGCUUGUGACUGGUCAGCUAGAGUACGGCAGAGGGGGGUGGAAUUCCACGUGUAGCAGUGAAAUGCGUAGAGAUGUGGAGGAACACCGAUGGCGAAGGCAGCCCCCUGGGCCGAUACUGACGCUCAUGCACGAAAGCGUGGGUAGCAAACAGG
rnacentral:rRNA from 1 species